GGCGUGGUAGCCACGGGACCAAAACAGCGGAGAAGUUGAGCCUCGCGUUUCAACAUUCUUAGUUGUUGCGGAAAUUAAUCCACUAUGCUGUUUACUUUCUGCAUCUAUGUCAUAUCGCUGAGUCUACCUUUAAGUCCAAAUGUUUCUUCUAACAAAAUGCAAAUCCAUUUGUAUUCAUGCACUCAUGCAGUAGACUUGCUGAAAAAAAGAUUCAUCAUUGCACACUGCACAGACACUGUACAUAACCUUUCCAAUUAGGACAUUAUAGAUUUUAGUUUUGUGCCAGGAAGACAGCGAGAGAAAAGCAUGGGAGUGGCCGAUCAUGCAAAUUAAAAAGGAAGAACAAGCUCAUUCAUUGUUCAUGAAUACCUCUGGAGGUUAGUGAUCCACACCCAGAGCCUGAGGGGUACAGAUGAAGAUGCUACAUGUAUCACUGAAGACCAUGCUGACCACCCAUGGUACUAGCGUAAUUGAAGAUCAUGGACCACAUUUCCAACUGCAUGAUGCAAAACUCCCAUUAGAAUUGAAUGUGUCCCUGGAUGGAUGAGGGCUGUGGAGGAAGUCAGACCAAGUGAGGGAUUUGACAAAGAACCCAGAAUCCAUCUCUCAGGAGAAGUUAUAUUGGCAGGCCCACA
rnacentral:lncRNA from 1 species